rnacentral:rRNA from 1 species
UACGUAGGGUGCGAGCGUUGUCCGGAAUUCUUGGGCGUAAAGAGCUCGUAGGCGGUUUGUUGCGUCGGCUGUGAAAUCCCGAGGCUCAACCUCGGGUCUGCAGUCGAUACGAGCAAACUAGAGUGUUGCAGGGGAGACUGGAAUUCCUGGUGUAGCGGUGAAAUGCGCAGAUAUCAGGAAGAACACCUAUGGCGAAGGCAGCUCUCUGGGACGGUACUGACGCUGAGACGCGAAAGCGUGGGGAGCGAACAGG